rnacentral:ncRNA from 1 species
CACCACAGACGCGGGAGUCCGGUGCGACCGGGCUGAGAGGGCGGCUGAACGGGCCGCCGACCGCCACGACCUGAUCCGGAUCAUGCCGGCGAAGGGAGCGCACAUGGAGAUCGU